ACAGGCCGUGGCGGCGCGCAAAGCCCGGAGCGGGAGUCUGAGCCGCGGAACCAGGCCCUGACCCCGGCCUCCCUGGAAAACCCGGUGCGGAUAGGGCUCUGGGGUGGACGGUCAGCGGAGGCGGCGCCACAGAGACCUGAGUUUAGGCAGGUCACCCACCAUCCUUCUUCCUGGGCUGCUGUUUUCUGUAAAGUGCGGGGAGAAAUUAGAACCAUGUCCAGAGAGCAGUCAAGCGCCACAGUUAUGGGUCUGGAGGAAGAGGACAACUUUCAAGAGUUGGUUCUUUCCUUCCACCUAGCAGGUUCUGGGGAUGGAACUCAACACUCAGGUGGCCCAGCCGGGUGGCAGCCACAGGACACUUGGCGGCCUUCCACAGUGACCACCGAAUGCUUUAUGAAGAAACAAGACCUGGGCUUGACAAGAUCCUCUGCUACCAUGCAUUGUGGAACUUUGGGGAAGUGACCUUACCUCUCUGGGACUCAGUUUCCCCAUCUCUACAAAGAAGGUGCCUUCUAAGGGCUCCACACCCUCUCAGUUCUGUGAUGUUCUGUGGCCUGGAGUACUCUAAAGGAAAGUAGAAAGCAAGGACCUGUAUCUGUAUCUGCCUCACGGAGGCUUUUGGAUUAGAUGACCUUUCCAGACCCUUUUGCUUUUGACAUCAAAAGUAUGUAAGAUGUCCUUUCUUGAAAACUGCCAAGCUGGAAGGCCUCUGGCUUACUUGGCCCAUGGGGGUAGAGGCAGUGGAGGACAGCCAAAGUGGUACAAGAAAAAUGAGUUUUGAAAUUCUGUGGUCCUGGAUUCAAAUUCUACACUUGCCACUUCAGUAGCCACCCACAUGGCCUCUUUGGCUUCUGUGGGCUUUAAAUGAAGAACUACUUUGCAGAGGUGAACUGAGGCUCGGCAGCAUCGUGCCUAGGGAACACCAUGCUUAGUCACCAUUACUCAAGGUAUCAGGUGCAGCUGAGCUAGAGCAGACUGGGUGGAAUGCAGGAAAUUGGGCAUUUGUUUAUUUUUUUCUCCCCUUUGGUGAGGUUUUGGUUUUUCUUUUCUUACUUUAGGUUCUUCUGUAGCCUAGUUUGACCUUGAACUUGCUAAGUAGCUGAGACUAGCUUUGAACUCCUGAUCUUCCUUCCUCUACCUACUCAGUGAAGGGAUUACAGAUAUUUUGCUUUCUAUAAUUAAAAUCAUAAGUUUG